GACGUUGGUCUGUACUGGGUGUGUGAUUAUUCAGAACACAUCAGUUGCAAAACAGAGAGCUUGAGGUUCAGGACAACUCUGAAAUAAUCUUAAACUCAAAAGGAACACUGGAGCUAACCAGUGAAAAUAUAAUGAUAUGAGAAAGGAUGACUGGUGCGACAGGAAGUAACUUCCAAGUUGGUGUGACUCUCAAAGGAUGCUCUCUGGUUUAAGCUUAGCCGUGCUCCUUCUCGUGACCACACCAUGUGCACCCACUACUGGUCAACCCUGCCAGUGCUCAGCCCUCCUGCCUGCUGGCCUGAAAGUGAACUGCAGCUCUUUAAAGCUCAUGGAUCUGUCUCAUCUGCCCCCAGACACCACAGAGCUUCAUGUGCAGGACAACCUACUCACCUCAGUGCAUCCAGGCUUGUUUGACAGACUGGUUGGUCUGGAAAAGGUCUCAUUCGCCGGGAACCAAUUCCAUUGCGACUGUAGGAUUCAGUACUUGAGGAACUGGUUGCUGAAAAACAGGGCUAUUGUCUCCAAGGAGCCCACUUGUGCCAGUCCACGCUCCGUGGCUCAGAAAGCCAUCACUGAACUCAGUGAUGACUACUUUUCUUCCUGUGCCCUGGUGAGCUGUACUGAGUGGACUUUUAAUGCCAUAAUGGGAGUGAUGCUAUGCUUCCUCUCUGUCCUGCUUCUGUGGAGUUUGAGGCUAGCCAAAACUUCCACCAUCACUUUGUACAUAGAUGACAGACAUUCAGGAUCCAAGGCCAUCUCUUUGCACUCACUGAAGCCCAAACACAGAAGGAGGCUGCACACUGGGCUGUCAGAGGUCAGCCAGGACUCUGAGUCUCUCCAUCGGACGGAGGAUCUUGAAAAGCCCCUUAUCAACAUGGAGUUACUGCCUCAAGUAGUGGAUGUGCUGCACAAGAAACACAACAUAAAAAUAAACCUAUCCGAGGGACCUAUUCAUCGAUUACAGCGAAAUUACAAAAAUAUUAAAAGUGGAAAACAGAGUUGAGGGAAAAAUCUUGGUGUCUUACCCAAUAGCAUAAAGGGAAGUGAUGGGAAGUUUCCACUGCCUCUGCAUGGCCUGACUUCUGAUGAGGUGCUCUGCAAAAUGGUAAGUCAGCUCACUGGGCUUUCCCAUGAGAGCAUCGUAUUUCAGGUCUUUACCCGUUAUCUUCUUAUAAAUGUUCUCUAGGCACACAAGAAAUGUCCCAUGGCCAAACCUGAGACAAAAUGAGAAAGUGGAAGACAAAUGGAUACAUUUACAUUUGAGAGAUUGCGUUUCAGCUGCUAAUGUUAACAAACGAAACACUUUCUUUAACUCUUCUGUGACGGUGCUGAUUUUUAAAGGUUACCUUGGAGAAUGUGCCUCAGCCAUCCACAUGAGGUCCAUGUUGCAGGCCAGCAGGGGGAGGUGAGGCAUCGUCUGGGUGUUGUGAGCACUGCUGAGGUUACCGUUGGUCAACAAAAUGUCAACAAUCAGCUGCAGGUUGGUUUCCCAUCGAAUUGGCUCCCCAAACAAAACAACCGCUGUACGUGGAAUUAAAAAGUAAAAUCUCAUUGACAUCAAUAACACCAAACAACAGUAAGCAACUAUGAAACUGGUAGCUGAUAAAUCUUUGAAAUGAACGAAGGUAAAUGUUCUUACCUUCAACCUUAGGAAGGUUGCUAACAGGAUUGGACUGGAGAGAAAGACAAGACUCUAAAUAUACGUUUUUGUAUGUGACUAAAGAGCAGUUUGAUGAUUCUACAAUGCAUAAAUUAUGAUCCACACGAUUUCAAUAUCUCACCGGCAGUUUAGGUCUCCUGUUGUGAUCCACCAUGUCCAGCAAUGGAAAUGAUUCUCUCAGCAUAUCAAUACUGACAACUUUUUUAAAGCCCACGCUAAAGACAGAGUGUUAAGGACAAACGAGGAGUAUUUCGCAAACCUAAUUGAAAUGGGUCACAAAGAGAAGACAAAGUAAAGAUUUCAGGAUACUUCUUGGCAAUUUCCAGAACUGGUCCCUGUCCUGAAACCAGCACACACUUGUCAUGAAACUUCUUAAACAUCCUCAGUGGACUAUGGGACAUGAUGACUUGAUCUUGUGUAAUCUGAAAAUGGAUCAAGUGGCAGGAGACGUUAAUGACAGAAGUGACAAGGGACACCAAGUUGAUGUUUUAAAAAAAGGGUCUACACAGAACAGUCCUGAAGCUUGUAAUUCUCUCAUCAGUUUGAUAACUCACAGGCACUCCCAGGAUGUGAGAGAGCUGGUCUGCUUUAGUUUGUCGGAGGCAGUUCCCCGCAUUUGUGACGAAAACAACUGGUGCCACGAAUUUUCCCUGAGAGUCAACCAACUUCUCAAAUGCCUUUUUUGCUGCAGGGAUUGGCAUUCUUCCCCGGACGAGUACGCCAUCGAUGUCGAACAACAGCCCAAAGCGUGGUUGCUGCUGCAGGAGGGAAGGACAAAGACAGAUGUUUUCUCGCCGAUGAUUUGACUGGGCGAGACCCAAUGACGACAUAUGGGGAGUAGGAGGGUCUCUCACUGCAUCUCAGCCGGAAGGAGCCGGAGAGCUGCAUCUGCACCGCAAAUCCCGCUGCCAUUUUAGACUCCGAGGUGGCGCUUACUGUUCUUGGAUGCACCACCGUCUCCAUCCAUCACAGGACAGGGCUGUUGCGACACGAGCUUUCUGAUCGCCAUCACCAGAUUUGCACGUGUAUACGUAUACUUUCAUGGCAAGUCUUUUAUAUGCCGAGUAAGGCACAACAUGGAUAAUGAUUAAGGUUCUCUCCAUUUUACCUCCAGGGCACAAAACCAGUUGGUUUACUCAUGGGUCGCAAUGCAGACGCGUUUCCUCAUGCCAUCUGUGUGUGUGUGUGUUUCAGGGUAGCUAAAUUUGCUGCAUGGGAGCCUGAAGGUAUUUGACAGGGAAAUUUGACCCUUCCUGAUAAAGACAGCAGCAUCCCCUUAGCACUUUGACCAUGUAAAUGAAAGCCCCUCCCAACAGCCCCCUUUCUUUUUUUAAAAAGUGGUUGCACAAAAAUAAUGCCAGCACGCGGAUAUGAAUUUAUCCGUGUUGCUGUUUCCUCACUGAGGGAAAACAACAAGAAAGCCAACCACACCAAACCAGAGAACAAAAUGUUUGUGCACCAAAGAAACUUGCAUAUCAGGUUAAAUGUUUUUAAUACGGCCGAUCACUUGAGAAAGGAUAAACAUUCUGCAAAGGAAAAGCAUCUUAAAACAGCAAGCAUUAAAUCUUAUAAACCGAAAUCAGACAAACAGGUCCUCCCCGUGCUCCUCCAGCUUUAUUGAUAGUUUAAAAUUACAUUUCUAUUUUCUAGGACUUCAGUUGCACUUUCCUUCCGACUUAAAAACUGAGUACAAGCAAAUGGUAUUUAUACAGUAGUCUACUAAGUGAUAUUGUACAAAAAUAACAUUUUGAUUUCUGUGAAAACAUUUUUCAUUCCCAAAUAACUCCUAAUUCUGCUGUUCUGACAACUGAUCUUGAUGUUAAUUUUUGCCAAGGUAAAAAAAAGAAAAUUCCAAAGCCAUUUUAAAAGGAAAUGUCUACCUUGGACUACCAAGUGAUAUU